rnacentral:rRNA from 1 species
AGCGAACGCUGGCGGCAGGCUUAACACAUGCAAGUCGAACGGAUCCUUCGGGAUUAGUGGCAGACGGGUGAGUAACGCGUGGGAACGUACCCUUUGCUACGGGAUAACUCAGGGAAACUUGAGCUAAUACCGUAUGUGCCCUACGGGGGAAAGAUUUAUCGGCAAAGGAUCGGCCCGCGUUGGAUUAGCUAGUUGGUGGGGUAAUGGCCUACCAAGGCGACGAUCCAUAGCUGGUCUGAGAGGAUGAUCAGCCACACUGGGACUGAGACACGGCCCAGACUCCUACGGGAGGCAGCAGUGGGGAAUAUUGGACAAUGGGCGCAAGCCUGAUCCAGCCAUGCCGCGUGAGUGAUGAAGGUCUUAGGAUUGUAAAGCUCUUUCACCGGUGAAGAUAAUGACGGUAGCCGGAGAAGAAGCCCCGGCUAACUUCGUG